AUCGUAGCGGAACAAGCGGAGAGACUUUUAACAGAAUUGUAAAAAUUAUUAUUUUAUAUUUGCAUAUACAUAUCUUUAACUAAUAAUGUACAAUAUUUCAUUAUUUUUAGGAUAUUAAGAGGUUUUCUGAUUUCUUGUAGCUUUUACUAUUAUUAGUGGUCUUUGAAGCGUUAGUUCUUGAACACUGAACCUCGAGAACAACUGUUAGGGAUCGCUUUGAUUGGCAAAAUUAAAAGACAUCUCUCAUAUUUAAAUCAACUAUACGGGCUGUCUAUUACCUGAUCGAGAGACCCUUGGGUUUAAUUCCAAUUACUGUCAAUGUCUCAAGACAUUUCAUUUAAAUAUUCUCAAAUUAUUGGUAUCAAAAUGACACUACCUUCGGUGUUUUUGUUUACAAAGGAAUAAAGUGAAUUGUUGGUUUAGUCAAGCAAUACUCCACAAUAUUCAUCGGCUCCAGACAAUGGUCCGGUUUAUUCAGUUUGAGAUUUGGGUAAACUAUGAAGUAUUCUCCAGAUCUUUUGGUUUAGCAACAGGCUGUUUUGCACUUGGCAAAAGGAAUCCUAAAGCGCCCGCAAUAAUUAGUGCAGCCGCUGGACUAUAAAGCGCCAUCUCGCAAUGUGUUUCAAUGAGUAAACCUAAAGUGUUGGAUCCCACGACGCUUCCAAUACGUCCGAUCAUAAGAGAUAUGCAAACGGCCAUACCCCUGAAAGAAAUUAAAGAAUUUAAUACAAAUAUGUUCAAUUGCGUGUCUUCUAUUAGAUGAAGCGUUUACAAAAAUUCUAAUAUUCCUUCUUUUGAGUAUUCGGGAAUUAUUUCGAUAACAUUCGAAGCUUCUGACCUUUAAUUGUAUAUAAUCUCGGAUAUAAUGAAUACCAAUACAUUUAAGAUCUACACCACUUAAAAUCGCUGAAAUUAUCUCUAAACUUGAAUGGAAAAUGAGUUUUGAGACGCCUUUGGCUAUUUACCUUAAAUUUGUUGGGAAUAUUUCAACAACAAUGGCAUUGAGCACGGAUAUGCCGCAACCGCAGCAAAGUUGAAUGACCAAGAAAUAAACGGCCAGCAGGGGAAUUUGUAUGGUAAAGGCCAAUAUGCCACAAGCUCCACAAAUAAACAUGCUUAUGACUACAAAAAAGUAAUUAAUUAUUAAAUCAUAUUUACACUGAAGUCCUUAUUGGUACUUACAAAGCAUGGGUUUACGUCCGAUUUUAUUAAUGAAAAACAUAAUGAGCAGCAGUAUGGUCACAUAUAUUAAUUCUAGGAAUAUGGUAUGCAUAUAAGUUGAUAUUUCUAAGUGCAUUGUGCACGUUUCAGUUGGACCCUGUAAAAAUUUAUAAGAAAAUAUUAAUUCAUGCUUGUUCCAAGACCUCAUAAUAGAACUUACAUCUUCAUCCACGCUUGUAAGAUUUCCCGAUUGUACGAAUUUGAUAAUAUCACAAAUGCGUUUCGGUUCGAUAAACUUCUCGGUAUAUUUCAUUGUGUUAUUAAGAAUAUACGGGAACCACAUGUAUACCCCAUGGGCACUAAAAAAUAUUAUAAACAAUAUCAGACUAGACAGAAAGGUCUUCCGUAGGUGUUCGCGCAUGAAAAGUGGCGCUGUUUGUUGCCACAUUGACUUCAUAAUAGAUAUUAGAAGAUUCUUCUUUUCUAAACCUUUCACUUUGCCCAUUGGUGUGUCGGCGUCCGGCAGUAAGACUUACCGUGUACACGUUGUCAGGAUCCUUGUUCCCGAUAUUUAUUCUAUGCAUACGCUUUAAAACUUCUAUAGCUUCUUCAGGAUUUCCGGCAGAUAGUAGAUACUUUGGACUCUCCGGCAAGAAAAACAUUAUCAAACCACAAAUAAAUCCGGGCACACCACAGGCCAAGAAGUACGAACGCCAUGGCUUGAAAACUAUAUUAAUGUAUGGCACAUAGAUUUCAAAUUCUUGAUUGAUGAAUAUCCAAGCGAUGACGGGGAAAAAUAUUGAGGCGACCGCACUUAUCAAACCACCGCCUAGUAUGGCACGACUGCGAUCUUUUUGACAAUGGAACUCUCCGACGUAAGCGAAAAUCGUCGCGGAACAAGCGGAGAGGCUGUAUGCCAUUUAAGAAUCUCAAGAAAGCGAAUGUCAGAAAAUUUGGUGAUAAACUUGAGCAGAAAGUAACGACAAAUCCCAGAAGCAAUGCCGGUUGCAUUAUCCGCUUGCGACCUUGAGUGUCGGCUAGAAAUCCCCAAAAG